GCUUUAUAUUUUUAUAUUAUUAUUUAUUUAGAAUAAUUUUUUUAAUAGUUGAGAAAAUAUUUUGUUGGGGUGACAGGAAGAUACAAAAAACUCUUUUUAGUUUAUUACAUUGAUAUAUGAAUUGUUGAUCCAUUAUUAUUGAUUAUAAGACUAAGU
rnacentral:rRNA from 1 species